UGAGUAUAGAAGACUUGAAAGCACCUACCCAAAUGCAGAGACUCCAAUGCAAAUGCUAUUGAUUGUAAAACACUAGUGAAUAUGUAAUAAGUCCUAGACUUAGUGCAUGACUCUACUCUUUGACAUCAAUGAGAUCGCGUGAUUCUUAUGUCAUCAGUAGAACUUAUAUCCCAUCAUUGGAUUAGUAAUACUUGUUGAAAAUGUCAAAUUUAAGCAUUCGAUAAU
rnacentral:lncRNA from 1 species